UGGGGAAUAUUGGACAAUGGGCGCAAGCCUGAUCCAGCCAUGCCGCGUGGAUGAUGAAGGCCCUAGGGUUGUAAAGUCCUUUUAACGGGGAAGAUAAUGACGGUACCCGUAGAAUAAGCCCCGGAUAACUUCGUGCCAGCAGCCGCGGUAAUACGAAGGGGGCUAGCGUUGCUCGGAAUUACUGGGCGUAACGCGAACGUAGGCGGACCGAUAAGUCGGGGGUGAAAUCCUGGAGCUCAACUCCAGAACUGCCUUCGAAACUGCCGGGCUUGAGUUCGGGAGAGGUGAGUGGAACUGCGAGUGUAGAGGUGAAAUUCGUAGAUAUUCGCAAGAACACCAGUGGCGAAGGCGGCUCACUGGCCCGAUACUGACGCUGAGGUGCGGAAGCGUGGGGAGCAAAC
rnacentral:rRNA from 1 species